GAUGAACGCUGGCGGCGUGCCUAAUACAUGCAAGUCGAGCGAACAGACGAGGAGCUUGCUCCUCUGACGUUAGCGGCGGACGGGUGAGUAACACGUGGAUAACCUACCUAUAAGACUGGGAUAACUUCGGGAAACCGGAGCUAAUACCGGAUAAUAUAUUGAACCGCAUGGUUCAAUAGUGAAAGACGGUUUUGCUGUCACUUAUAGAUGGAUCCGCGCCGCAUUAGCUAGUUGGUAAGGUAACGGCUUACCAAGGCGACGAUGCGUAGCCGACCUGAGAGGGUGAUCGGCCACACUGGAACUGAGAAACGGUCCAGACUCCUACGGGAGGCAGCAGUAGGGAAUCUUCCGCAAUGGGCGAAAGCCUGACGGAGCAACGCCGCGUGAGUGAUGAAGGUCUUCGGAUCGUAAAACUCUGUUAUUAGGGAAGAACAAAUGUGUAAGUAACUAUGCACGUCUUGACGGUACCUAAUCAGAAAGCCACGGCUAACUCCGUG
rnacentral:rRNA from 1 species